rfam:Trichoderma harzianum strain T6776 Scaffolds0133.1, whole genome shotgun sequence.
GGGCGGAUGGUUUAGUGGUAUAAUUUUCCCUUAGCAUGGCCAGUCCAAUUAAUUUGGCGGUUCAGCUUCUCAUUGGGAAAGGUCCGGGGUUCGAUUCCCCGUUCGUCCA